UUAUUUGUGAAAAAAACCGUAGACAGUAGGUGCAUACCGCUUAAUUUCCUACCGAGGGAUUUUAAUAUAAAGUCUUUUUGUCCUGUCUACUUUAUGACGGGACUUUUAUUU
rnacentral:sRNA from 1 species